GAUGAACGCUGGCGGCGUGCCUAAUACAUGCAAGUCGAGCGAACAGACGAGGAGCUUUCUCCUCUGACGGUAGCGGCGGACGGGUGAGUAACACGUGGAUAACCUACCUAUAAGGCUGGGAUAACUUCGGGAAACCGGAGCUAAUACCGGAUAAUAUAUUGAACCGCAUGGUGCAAUAGUUAAAGACGGUUUUGCUGUCACUUAUAGAUGGAUCCGCGCCGCAGUAGCUAGGUGGUAAGGUAACGGCGUACCAAGGCGACGAUGCGUAGCCGACCUGAGAGGGUGAUCGGCCACACUGGAACUGAGACACGGCCCAGACUCCUACGGGAGGCAGCAGUAGGGAAUCUUCCGCAAUGGGCGAAAGCCUGACGGAGCAACGCCGCGUGAGUGAUGAAGGUCUUCGGAUCGUAAAACUCUGUUAUUAGGGAAGAACAAAUGUGUAAGUAACUAUGCACGUCUUGACGGUACCUAAUCAGAAAGCCACGGCUAACUCCGUG
rnacentral:rRNA from 1 species